rnacentral:rRNA from 1 species
ACCUGCCCUGUACUCUGGGAUAAGCCUUGGAAACGAGGUCUAAUACCGGAUACGACACCGGAUCGCAUGAUCUGGUGUGGAAAGUUCCGGCGGUAUGGGAUGGACCCGCGGCCUAUCAGCUUGUUGGUGGGGUAAUGGCCUACCAAGGCGACGACGGGUAGCCGGCCUGAGAGGGUGACCGGCCACACUGGGACUGAGACACGGCCCAGACUCCUACGGGAGGCAGCAGUGGGGAAUAUUGCACAAUGGGCGAAAGCCUGAUGCAGCGACGCCGCGUGAGGGAUGACGGCCUUCGGGUUGUAAACCUCUUUCAGCAGGGACGAAGCGCAAGUGACGGUACCUGCAGAAGAAGCACCGGCUAACUACGUGCCAGCAGCCGCGGUAAUACGUAGGGUGCGAGCGUUGUCCGGAAUUAUUGGGCGUAAAGAGCUCGUAGGCGGUUUGUCGCGUCGGCCGUGAAAACUUGGGGCUUAACUCCAAGCUUGCGGUCGAUACGGGCA